ACUCCUACGGGAGGCAGCAGUGGGGAAUCUUGGACAAUGGGGGCAACCCUGAUCCAGCCAUGCCGCGUGAGUGAUGAAGGCCCUAGGGGUUCGUAAAAGCUCUUUCGCCUUGUGAUGAUAAUGACAGUAGCAGGUAAAGAAACCCCGGCUAACUCCGUUGCCAGCAGCCGCGGUAAUACGGAGGGGUUAGCGUUGUUCGGAAUUACUGGGCGGUAAAGCGCGCGUAAGGCGGACUAUUGAAGUACAGGGGUGAAAUCCCGGGGCUAACCCCGGGAAUCUGCCC
rnacentral:rRNA from 1 species